rnacentral:rRNA from 1 species
AUGCAGUCGAGGGGUAACAGGGAGAAGCUUGCUUUCUUUGCUGACGACCGGCGCACGGGUGCGGAACGCGUAUGGAACCUGCCCCUGUCAGGGGAAUAGCCCAGGGAAACUUUGGAUUAAUGCCCCAUGGUAUCGUUUUAUCGCAUGAUAUUACGAUUAAAGAUUUAUCGGACAGGGAUGGCCAUGCGUACCAUUAGUUAGAUGGUGAGGUAACGGCUCACCAUGGCAGCGAUGGUUAGGGGCCCUGAGAGGGGGAUCCCCCACACUGGUACUGAGACACGGACCAGACUCCUACGGGAGGCAGCAGUGAGGAAUAUUGGACAAUGGGCGGGAGCCUGAUCCAGCCAUGCCGCGUGCAGGAUGACGGCCCUAUGGGUUGUAAACUGCUUUUAUACGGGAAGAAACGCACCUACGUGUAGGUGUCUGACGGUACCGUAAGAAUAAGGACCGGCUAACUCCGUGCCAGCAGCCGCGGUAAUACGGAGGGUCCGAGCGUUAUCCGGAAUCAUUGGGUUUAAAGGGUCCGUAGGCGGGCCUGUAAGUCAGGGGUGAAAGUUUGUGGCUCAACCAUAAAAUUGCCUUUGAUACUGCAGGUCUUGAGUCAUGGUGGGGUUGCCGGAACAUGUGGUGUAGCGGUGAAAUGCAUAGAUAUCACAUAGAACACCGAUCGCGAAGGCAGGUGACCAACCAUGUACUGACGCUGAUGGACGAAAGCGUGGGUAGCGAACGGGAUUAGAUACCCCGGUAGUCCACGCCGUAAACGAUGGAUACUAGCUGUGGGGACUUCGGUCUCCGUGGCCAAGCGAAAGUGAUAAGUAUCCCACCUGGGGGAGUACGUUCGCAAGAAUGAAACUCAAAAGGAAUUGACGGGGGGCCCGCACAAGCGGUGGAGCAUGUGGUUUAAUUCGAUGAUACGCGAGGAACCUUACCAGGGCUUAAAUGCAGGCUGCAUGGGGGUGGAGACACCCCUUUCUUCGGACUGCCUGCAAGGUGCUGCAUUGGUUGUC